GGGAAGGUGGCUCAGUGGUAGAGUGCUUGCCUUGCAUGCAUGAGGCCCUGGGUUCGAUUCCUCAAAACCA
rfam:Dipodomys ordii contig_46974, whole genome shotgun sequence.